AAGAUACUAGUAUAAGGCCAAUACACUGCUUUGUCAAGGCAGAAUUGCAGGUUAGAUCCCUGCGUAUCUUG
rnacentral:tRNA from 1 species